AUUGAACGCUGGCGGCAUGCUUUACACAUGCAAGUCGAACGGCAGCACGGGAGCAAUCCUGGUGGCGAGUGGCGAACGGGUGAGUAAUAUAUCGGAACGUGCCCAGUCGUGGGGGAUAACGUAGCGAAAGCUACGCUAAUACCGCAUACGAUCUACGGAUGAAAGCGGGGGAUCGCAAGACCUCGCGCGAUUGGAGCGGCCGAUAUCAGAUUAGCUAGUUGGUGGGGUAAAAGCUCACCAAGGCGACGAUCUGUAGCUGGUCUGAGAGGACGACCAGCCACACUGGAACUGAGACACGGUCCAGACUCCUACGGGAGGCAGCAGUGGGGAAUUUUGGACAAUGGGCGCAAGCCUGAUCCAGCAAUGCCGCGUGCAGGAUGAAGGCCUUCGGGUUGUAAACUGCUUUUGUACGGAACGAAACGGUGAGCUCUAAUAAAGCUUGCUAAUGACGGUACCGUAAGAAUAAGCACCGGCUAACUACGUG
rnacentral:rRNA from 1 species